UGGGGAAUUUUGGACAAUGGGCGAAAGCCUGAUCCAGCAAUGCCGCGUGUGUGAAGAAGGCCUUCGGGUUGUAAAGCACUUUUGUCCGGAAAGAAAUCCUUGGCUCUAAUACAGUCGGGGGAUGACGGUACCGGAAGAAUAAGCACCGGCUAACUACGUGCCAGCAGCCGCGGUAAUACGUAGGGUGCAAGCGUUAAUCGGAAUUACUGGGCGUAAAGCGUGCGCAGGCGGUUUGCUAAGACCGAUGUGAAAUCCCCGGGCUCAACCUGGGAACUGCAUUGGUGACUGGCAGGCUAGAGUAUGGCAGAGGGGGGUAGAAUUCCACGUGUAGCAGUGAAAUGCGUAGAGAUGUGGAGGAAUACCGAUGGCGAAGGCAGCCCCCUGGGCAAAUACUGACGCUCAUGCACGAAAGCGUGGGGAGCAAACAGGAUUAGAUACCCUGGUAGUCCACGCCCUAAACGAUGUCAACUAGUUGUUGGGGAUUCAUUCCUUAGUAACGUAGCUAACGCGUGAAGUUGACCGCCUGGGGAGUACGGUCGCAAGAUUAAAACUCAAAUGAAUUGACGGGGUCAUAGCUG
rnacentral:rRNA from 1 species